rnacentral:tmRNA from 1 species
GGCCUUCCAUUUCUUGCGAUGGCCCCCUAUAUUCGGUUUGUCGGCUUGACCGACUAUGGCGAUAAAUGGGCGAUGAAAUAAGCCGUUCGGACCCGGGGGCGGUACCCGGCGCCUCCACCAAAAGCCGCUGCUGAUGACAGAGCGGUUUUUGCUGGGGGCGAAAUAGGAUCGACGAAGGUGUAAAGAUCGUACUUUUGCCCGGCAUGGUACCACCGUCAUCGGGCUAAACCUGUAGUUGCAAAUGACAACUAUGCGGAAGCACGUCUCGCCGCGUAAG